AUUGAACGCUGGCGGCAGGCCUAAUACAUGCAAGUCGAGCGGAUGAAGGGAGCUUGCUCCUGGAUUCAGCGGCGGACGGGUGAGUAAUGCCUAGGAAUCUGCCUGGUAGUGGGGGAUAACGUCCGGAAACGGGCGCUAAUACCGCAUACGUCCUGAGGGAGAAAGUGGGGGAUCUUCGGACCUCACGCUAUCAGAUGAGCCUAGGUCGGAUUAGCUAGUUGGUGGGGUAAAGGCCUACCAAGGCGACGAUCCGUAACUGGUCUGAGAGGAUGAUCAGUCAAACUGGAACUGAGACACGCUCCAAACUCAGAAGGAAGGCAGCAGGGGGGAAUAUUGGACAAUGGGCGAAAGCCUGAUCCAGCCAUGCCGCGUGUGUGAAGAAGAUCUUCGGAUUGUAAAGCACUUUAAGUUGGGAGGAAGGAAAGUAAGUUAAUACCUAGCUGUUUUGACGUUACCAAAAGAAUAAGCACCGGCGAACUUCG
rnacentral:rRNA from 1 species